UUUCACCUUUUCUUCCCUUCUUUUUCUCUUUCCUCAGAUAAACCAAAGAUGAAACAUGCGAAUCCUGGAAAAGAGAAAGAACUGAAAUAUUCAGCUGCUAUCAAGGAUAAAGAACAUUCUAAAGAAAAGGAAGGAAAGAAUCCUACAGCUUUAAAAGAUAAAGAAUCACUGAAAGGAAAAAAUCCCAAGAAUCCAGAAGAGUCAAAGGAAAAAGAGACUGCUAAAAGAAAAGAUGUGAUGCCUCCAACAGUCUUAAAGGAAAAGGACUCUUCAAAAGGAAAGGAAAUGAAAGUUCCAGCUAUGACAAAGGAGAAAGCUGCGGUGAGGAAACAAGAGGAAAAGAAAGGCACUUCAGAGAAACCUCAUGACCACAAGCAUGAACAUAUUAAACAUGAAAAAUCAAUCUCUCACACUAAGCCAGAGGAGAAAAUUAAACAACAAAAGAGAGGCCUCACCGAGAGUUCAGCCCAAGCUAAGCCAGCAAAGCAUGAAGCAGUCAGGCAUGAAAAAGAUGUUCUACCUACAAAGCCCGUCAAACUGAAAACAACUUCAAAGUCAACGGUUGAAAUCCCAGUAACAGCCCCGAAGAAAAGAAAGACGUCUAAGGAAAAAGAAGGUAGGAAAUUACUCUGUGUAUUCAUAUAUGUGUAGAUGGAAGAUCACAAGGAUGAUCAGAGGACUCAAGCACCUCUCCUCUGAAGACAGGUGGAAGGAGCUGGGCUUGUUCAGCUUUCCUUGGGAGAUCCUUUUUCAGUCUUUCAAUACUUAAAGUGAGGAGAGGGACAGACUUUUUACAUGGUCUGGUAAUGAUAGGACAAGGGGGAAUGAUUUUAACCAAAAGAGGUGAGAAAUAGUUUAGAUAUUAGGCAGAAAUUCUUCACUUAGAGACUGGUGAGACACUGAAACAAGUUUCCCAGAGAAGCUGUGGGUGCCUCAUACCUGUAAGUCUUCAGGCUUGACUUAGUCAUUUGCAACCCUGACUAUAGCAGGGGGCAUAGAACUAGCUGUUGUUCUCUUCCAACCCAAGCCUUCCUACGAUUCUAACUUUAAAAUACUUCAGAUCAUAAUCUUGCAUGUAUUUGUAUAUGGAAAAAAAAAACAAAAAAAACAAAAAACAAAAAAAAAAAAACAAAAAAAACAAAAAAAACCCAACUCCUAAAAUAUCUAUAUUAAUUUUCAAAGAAUUGUAUUUGAAAAGUCUAGGUAAUAAUCUAAUAAGAAUUAGAAUUAAAAAUAUCUCCAACCUUGAACUCUGUUACCUGUCCCUUUCCUUUUUCUGCCUAGAAAAAACAACUGAGAAGAAACCUCUGAAAGAUGAAAAACACAAAGGUAAUAAAGGGAUGAAAAUCUCUGCA
rnacentral:lncRNA from 1 species